UACGUAGGGUGCAGGCGUUAAUCGGAAUUACUGGGCGUAAAGCGUGCGCAGGCGGUUUCUUAAGUCAGAUGUGAAAGCCCCGGGCUUAACCUGGGAACUGCGUUUGAAACUGGGAGACUUGAGUGUGGCAGAGGGGGGUGGAAUUCCACGUGUAGCAGUGAAAUGCGUAGACAUGUGGAGGAACACCGAUGGCGAAGGCAGCCCCCUGGGUUAACACUGACGCUCAUGCACGAAAGCGUGGGGAGCAAACAGG
rnacentral:rRNA from 1 species